rnacentral:tRNA from 1 species
GCCAGUUUGGCUCAGUGGAUAGAGCAUCAGCCUGAGGACUGAAGGGACCGGUUCGAUUCCGGUCAAGGCA